AUGAACGCUGGCGGCGUGUCUAAGGCAUGCAAGUCGAGUGGGUUUAGACCCACGGCAGACGGGUGAGUAACACAUUGGUAACCUACUCCCGACUGGGGCAUAACCUCGCGAAAGCGGGGCUAAUUCCCCAUACGUUCUCUUAAUUAGUUUUAAGAGAGGAAAGGCGCAAGCCGGUCGGGAAGGGGCCUAUGGCCUAUCAGCUAGUUGGUAAGGUAAUGGCUUACCAAGGCUACGACGGGUAGCGGGCGUGAGAGCGCGACCCGCCUCACUGGGACUGAAACACUGCCCAGACUCCUACGGGAGGCUGCAGUCAAGAAUAUUCCCCAAUGGACGAAAGUCUGAGGGAGCGACGCCGCGUGACUGAAGAAGCCCUUCGGGGUGUAAAGGUCUUUUAUUAGGGACGAAUCAAUGACGGUACCUAAUGAAUAAGAGGCUGCUAACUUCGU
rnacentral:rRNA from 1 species